rnacentral:rRNA from 1 species
AUUGAACGCUGGCGGCAGGCCUAACACAUGCAAGUCGAGCGGAUGAAGGGAGCUUGCUCCUGGAUUCAGCGGCGGACGGGUGAGUAAUGCCUAGGAAUCUGCCUGGUAGUGGGGGAUAACGUCCGGAAACGGGCGCUAAUACCGCAUACGUCCUGAGGGAGAAAGUGGGGGAUCUUCGGACCUCACGCUAUCAGAUGAGCCUAGGUCGGAUUAGCUAGUUGGUGGGGUAAAGGCCUACCAAGGCGACGAUCCGUAACUGGUCUGAGAGGAUGAUCAGUCACACUGGCACUGAGACACGGUCCAGACUCCUACGGGGGGCAGCAGUGGGGAAUAUUGGACAAUGGGCGAAAGCCUGAUCCAGCCAUGCCGCGUGUGUGAAGAAGGUCUUCGGAUUGUAAAGCACUUUAAGUUGGGAGGAAGGGCAGUAAGUUAAUACCUUGCUGUUUUGACGUUACCAACAGAAUAAGCACCGGCUAACUUCGUG